rnacentral:rRNA from 1 species
GACGUAGGGCGCAAGCGUUAUCCGGAAUUAUUGGGCGUAAAGAGCUCGUAGGCGGUUUGUCGCGUCUGCCGUGAAAGUCCGGGGCUCAACUCCGGAUCUGCGGUGGGUACGGGCAGACUAGAGUGAUGUAGGGGAGACUGGAAUUCCUGGUGUAGCGGUGAAAUGCGCAGAUAUCAGGAGGAACACCGGUGGCGAAGGCGGGUCUCUGGGCCGAUACUGACACUGAGGAGCGAAAGCGUGGGGAGCGAACAGG